rnacentral:rRNA from 1 species
AACCUGGUUGAUCCUGCCAGUAGUCAUAUGCUUGCUUUAAAGAUUAAGCCAUGCAAGUGCUAGUAUAAGGUUACAUUAUCGAAACUGCGAAAUGCUCAUUAUAACAGUUAUGAAAUUUUGAAUUUCGAGCAACUUGACAGUUUACCUGUGACAAUUCUAGAGCUAAUGCAUAUUUGUCAGGGCAACCUUUGGGAAGCGCUGAACAUAUUAGAUACACAACCAUGUAGGCCACGAGCCACUGGACGAUUAACUAUAUGUAAGCCUAGCGUACAACUUAGUUGACGCCGUGUUUAUGUUAUUUCUGACCUAUCAGCUUUCGACGGUAAGGUAUUGGCUUACUGUGGCGGUAACGAGUGACGGAGAAUUAGGGUUUGAUUCCGGAGAGGGAGCCUGAGAAACAGCUACCACAUCUAAGGAAGGCAGCAGGCGCGUAAAUUACCCAAUCCUAAUACGGGGAGGUAGUGACGAAAAAUAACGAGGUAACCUAGUUUACUAGGAUUACUAUUGGAAUGAGCUAACGUUAAAAAUGUUAGCAAGCAGCGAUUGGAGGGCAAGUCUGGUGCCAGCAGCCGCGGUAAUUCCAGCUCCAAUAGCGUAUAUUAAAGUUGCUGCGGGUAAAAAGCUCGUAGUUGGGAUUCAAUUUGCAGCUUGCGGUCCACUCUAAGAGUGCGUAUCUGCUAGUUGGCAAUUUUGUUGAUGAGAGAUAGUAGACACUUUAAUGUUUUCACUUUUCUCGUCGAAUUCACUUUGAGGAAAUCAGAGUGCUAAUAGCAGGCUUAGGUCAUGUGUGCAGUAGCAUGGAAUGAUGCAAUGGGUCGACUACUGUUACUUGGUUGGAUGGCAGUCGGUAAAGAUCGAUAGAGGCAGUUGUGGGUAUUUGUAUUAAUGUGUCAGAGGUGGAAUUCUUGGACCACAUUACGACAGGCUGACGCGAAGGCAUUUAUCAAGGAUGUUUUCAUUGAUCAAGAACGAAAGUAUGGGGAUCGAAGAUGAUUAGAUACCGUCGUAGUCCAUACAGUAAACAAUGCCUACUUGGAUUUGGGGGAUAUUGCUCAACUGAUUCCUCCAGUGCCAUAUGAAAAAUCAAAGUUUCUGGGUUCCGGGGGGAGUAUGGUCGCAAGGCUGAAACUUAAAGGAAUUGACGGAAGGGCACCACCAGGAGUGGAGCCUGCGGCUUAAUUUGACUCAACGCGGGAAAGCUCACCAGGUCCGGACAUAGUGAGGAUAGACAGAUUGAUAGCUCUUUCUUAAUUCUAUGGGUGGUGGUGCAUGGCCGUUCUUAGUUGGUGGAGUGAUUUGUCUGGUUAAUUCCGUUAACGAACGAGACCUUAACCUACUAAAUAAUAUCCCGCAUCUCCGGAUGUGUAGAGAUUUCUUAGGGGGACGUUGCGUAUGUUAACGUGAGUAAGUUUGAGGCAAUAACAGGUCUGUGAUGCCCUUAGAUGUUCUGGGCUGCACGCGCGCUACACUGACAUUUCUAAUAAGUGGCCGUUCUUGAUAAAGUGUGGAAAUCUUGUAAAGCAAUGUCGUGAUUGGGAUAGUUCUUUGUAAUUAUUGAUCUUGAACGAGGAAUUCCUAGUAAAUGUGGGUCAUUAUCCAACGUUGAUUACGUCCCUGCCCUUUGUACACACCGCCCGUCGCUCCUACCGAUUGAGUGAUCCGAUGAGUAUCGUAGAUACGACUUAGCUACAUAUGCUGAUGUUGUUAAGCCUUGCAAAUCUUACCACUUAGAGGAAGGAGAAGUCGUAACAAGGUUUCCGUAGGUGAACCUGCAGAAGGAUC